rnacentral:rRNA from 1 species
AUUGAACGCUGGCGGCAUGCCUUACACAUGCAAGUCGAACGGCAGCACGGGAGCAAUCCUGGUGGCGAGUGGCGAACGGGUGAGUAAUAUAUCGGAACGUGCCCAGUCGUGGGGGAUAACGCAGCGAAAGCUGUGCUAAUACCGCAUACGAUCUACGGAUGAAAGCGGGGGAUCGCAAGACCUCGCGCGAUUGGAGCGGCCGAUAUCAGAUUAGCUAGUUGGUGGGGUAAAGGCCCACCAAGGCAACGAUCUGUAGCUGGUCUGAGAGGACGACCAGCCACACUGGAACUGAGACACGGUCCAGACUCCUACGGGAGGCAGCAGUGGGGAAUUUUGGACAAUGGGCGCAAGCCUGAUCCAGCAAUGCCGCGUGCAGGACGAAGGCCUUCGGGUUGUAAACUGCUUUUGUACGGAACGAAACGGUGAGCUCUAAUACAGUUUGCUAAUGACGGUACCGUAAGAAUAAGCACCGGCUAACUACGUGCUAGCCGCCGCGGUAA